CAACUUUCAACAAUGGAUCUCUUGGCUCCGGCAUCGAUGAAGAACGCAGCGAAAUGCGAUAACUAGUGUGAAUUGCAGAUUUCAGUGAAUCAUCGAGUCUUUGAACGCACAUUGCGCCCCCUGGUAUUCCUAGGGGCAUGCCUAUUCGAGCGUCGUU
rnacentral:rRNA from 1 species